UCCGGUUGAUCCUGCCGGACCCCACUGCUAUCGGGGUGGGACUAAGACAUGCUAGUCGUGCGCCUCCAAGCCACGGUGGAGGCGCGGCGCACAGCUCAGUAACACGUGGCUAACCUACCCUUGGGACAGGGACAACCCCGGGAAACUGGGGCUAAUCCCCGAUAGGUGAGGACUCCUGGAAUGGGUCCUCGCUGAAAGGGCGUCUAGACCAUGCUUCUAGACGCUGCCCAAGGAUGGGGCCGCGGCCGAUCAGGUUGUUGGUGAGGUAACGGCUCACCAAGCCUAAGACCGGUACGGGCCGUGAGAGCGGGAGCCCGGAGAUGGACACUGAGACAAGGGUCCAGGCCCUACGGGGCGCAGCAGUCGCGAAACCUCCGCAAUACGCGAAAGCGUGACGGGGCCACCCCGAGUGCCGUCCGCUGAGGACGGCUUUUCCCCAGUGUAGACAGCUGGGGGAAUAAGGGGAGGGCAAGUCGGGUGUCAGCCGCCGCGGUAAUACCCGCUCCCCGAGUGGUGGGGACGCUUAUUGGGCCUAAAGCAUCCGUAGCCGGCUGGACAAGUCCCCUGUUAAAUCCAGCGAUUUAAUCGCUGGACUGCGGGGGAUACUGUCCAGCUAGGGGGCGGGAGAGGCCGGCGGUAUUCCCGGGGUAGGGGUGAAAUCUUAUAAUCCCGGGAGGACCACCAGUGGCGAAGGCUGCCGGCUGGAACGCGCCCGACGGUGAGGGAUGAAAGCUGGGGGAGCGAACCGAAUUAGAUACCCGGGUAGUCCCAGCUGUAAACGAUGCGGGCUAGGUGUUGGCACGGCUACAAGCCGUGUCAGUGCCGCAGGGAAGCCGUUAAGCCCGCCGCCUGGGGAGUACGGCCGCAAGGCUGAAACUUAAAGGAAUUGGCGGGGGAGCACCACAAGGGGUGAAGCUUGCGGUUUAAUUGGAGUCAACGCCGGA
rnacentral:rRNA from 1 species